GAUUGCAUCGAUACCCCAACGCAGACCUYGAAGGCGGCAGGGCUUGGAUGGGUCGCUUGGGCACCUCCUUCCUUGUCCUUGGCGUCACUGUCNYYCCUCCACUACUGUGGUAAUCGUSGUUUCUCCGGGAGCGACCGCUCGCUCGAUGUCAGCACAACUUUCAGCGACGGAUGUCUCGGCUCGAGCAACGAUGAAGGGCGCAGCGAAGUGCGAUAAGCAUUGUGAAUUGCAGAAUUCCGUGAACCAACAGGGACUUGAACGUACACUGCGCUUUCGGGAUAUCCCUGAAAGCAUGCCUGCUUCAGUGUCUACCCAACGUAGUGCCGGCGAUGCCGCCCCUUGGAGGGCAAGUCGCUAGUGCGUAGCUGUGCGUUAGCGUGCUUCAGCGCCCCUGACGCAUACAGCGCAGUCCCCCCCCCAUCCCCGGCCUGCAACUUGCAACGCGCCUUGCGUGCUGUCCCGUUGCAGCGCGWGCGGAGGGAGCCCCGGCCUGGAGUGCCCCC
rnacentral:rRNA from 1 species